rnacentral:lncRNA from 1 species
AUGAGCAUACGUAAGACCCGGCGCUCGGGCGCGCACGCUUUUAUUUUUAAGUUUGGUUUUAAAACCUGGACUUGAUGAAGCACCCAAGUUUCCUAAUACUCCCUGGACUUUCCCCCUUUUAAGACUAUCUCUUCUUAAAACUUAAAAUUAUAUGAAAUGAUCAUAUAAUCGCAUUAGAAAUGAACAAGCAGUGUUUUCCAUUCACGGGAAGUCUGUCUCACCACGUUUACCCACAGUGUAGGGGACGAAGCUCAAAGCCUUGGGUGACCCGCAGGAGGUUCAGGCAGCACAUCUGUUGGAACCUGCUUCUUCAGGAUUCCAGCUUAUACAGAAGACCAGCUGAAACACCCAGCCUCGCGGGACUGAGCAACUACUAGAUUCUUGGAAUUCCUGUUCACAGCUGCCCAUUGUUGGGUUAGUUAGAAUGCAGACUACUUACAAUUGGAAUGAGCCCGUGGUCAAUAAGAGUGGAGUUCUGAAGAACCUUUCAGGGAUUUUAACUGAAUGAUACUUGUAUCUUGUGUUAAGGUGGUUGUGGAGAGAAAUAUACAGAUGUGGAAAAUA